GAAAGUUAAAGAAACUGUUUCUUAACUUUUAACUAAAAAAGUUAAGAACCAGUUCUUAAAUAAGGACUUUAAGAACCGGUUCUUAGCUUUUUUAGUUAAAAGUUAAGAAACAGUUUAUUAACUUCC
rfam:Brassica napus, WGS project CCCW01000000 data, contig: 338